CCAGGGUUAGGGUUUUAGGGUCAGGGCCCGGGGCCCAGGGUUAGGGUGAUUUCCAGGAAGUGACCUCACAACGACUCAAGCUACCACUUACUGUUGAUUGUGAUGAAAUGCCAGCUGAGGCACACGCCUUGGGAGCUAAGUGGUUGCUGCACUUGACCACUAUGAAGACUGGUGUGGGAAGGGUCGCUUUGGAUGCACUUGAGCAGGGGUCCCCAACCCCUGAGCCAUGGAGCCGUAAGGAGCCACACAGCAGGUGGGACCAUCCAGUUUCAGGAAAACAAGCUUAACACGCCCACUGAUUCUACAUUAUGCUCCUACCUCCCGGCAGCCUCGCCAGGCCCAGAACUCUCUCCAGUCAGCCUCUACAGACCAAGCUCAUGACUCACAAUGGCCUAUUUAGGCCCAUACCCUACCUCACGGCAGUCUCCGCAGAUGAGCCUACUGACUCACAACAGCCUCCACAGGCACAACUCCAUCGUUACAAUGGCCUCUUUAGACCCAGCUCCUGCCGCCCAGCCUUCUCUCCAGGCCUUGAACUUUCUCCGGUCUCCCUCUGUUGUCCGAGGCUGGAGGGUAGUAGUGCUAUCGCAGCUGACUGCAGCCUCAACCUUCCAGGCUGAAGCGAUCCUCCCAUCUCAACCUCCCACGUGGCUGAGACUACAGGUGCUUGCCACUAUGCCCAACUAAUAUUUGGUAUUUUCGUAUACGUGGAUUCCAGAGGGGUGACAGCGAAACGUGGGACCAUCCAGUUUCAGGAAAACAAGCUUAACACGCCCACUGAUUCUACAUUAUGAUUCUUCAGGCCCAGCAUCUGCCUCACUGUGGACCCCCCAAGCCAAGCUCCCAACCUUUCAGCAGCUUCUACACACCCAGCUCCCGCCUGCCAGUGGCCUCUUCAGGCCCAUGGGGCUCAUUCCUCACAACAGCCUUUCCAGUCCCAGUUUUUCCCUUCCGGCGGCCUCUCCGGGCUGAGAACCUCCUCAAGUCGGCCUCUCCAGACUCACUUGCACCCUCCAGGCGUCCUCUCCGGGCCAAGCUCCUCUUCCUGGCUGCGUCUCCAGGCCCGACUCCUGCCUCUCAACAACCUCUUUGGACUCAGUGCCUACCCAUCUCCUGGCGUCCUUGGUCGGCCCAUAGCUUCCUCAAGCCAAGCUCCCCAGGCCCAGGUCAGGCCUCACGGUGCCCCCUCCACGAUGAGCUCCUGCCCUCCAAUGGCACCUGCAGGACCCAAAUGGUCUCCGGUCGGUGGGCUCCUCCACGCCAAGCUUGGGCCUCCCGGUGACCUCUGCAGGCCCAAGUUGUCCUGAAGUCGGCAUCUCCCAGCCAUGCCUCCCAGCAAGUAAGCAAGCUCUUUUGGCUCAACUCCUGCCCAGCUCCCAACCGCCUUUGUAGGUCCCGAACUUUCUCCAGCCAAGUUCUUUGGGCCUCAUUCCUGCCGCCCGGUGGCCUGUACGGGCCCAGCAAUGGUUGGAGAA